GGUUGUCGGUUCAGGUAGAGAGCUCUGGCGCUCCUUGUUAAAUAAACAUCAAAAACGUCAAGUUGUCCACUCAACUCCCUUACGUUACACCUCUAGGUGCCAAUGGGCUGCUUUAUCUCUGCUGCGCCCCUGGUCCAGUUGUACCAGAUGGGUGGAACCCCAAUGGCAACGCAGGGCAGAACUGCUGACGCACCAACCUUGCACGUCACCUGACCCGCAUAGGUCACAAUAAUGGGACUAACUGUGGAGGGGGAGGAGGGACAACAAAACAACAUCCCCUUUGGUUAAGGCGGCCCUGUCUCCCCCCUCUCGGCCGCUCACACUACACUCCAUUGGUGAGAUAAUAGCCACCACAAAAAAGAAGUGUGAUGAAGUGGAAAGACAGGGACUGGGAUGAGUUAAGGGACUGUUGUUGUGUUCGGGCGACGCCGCAGAGAUGACUGUGUCCCAGGACAUGGAAGGACGGGCAGAAAACAGCUUGCAGGUAAGAGAAGUCUUUUUAAUCCAAGG